rnacentral:lncRNA from 1 species
GCCGUUCGGCGAGCUAGCCCCGCCGGCCGGAACCCUAGCCCCGGGCCAAUCCCGCCAUGCCACGUGGCAGUGCCCUUUUUAUUUUAUUUUAUUUUAUUUUCGGCCGUAGUAGAUAAUGUUUUUUUUUGCAGAAAAGACCCUACAACUUCAAAGCAUCAUAUCUUUCAAACCGUUUGUCCAAAAAUUGCGUUCCGCACCUUUCUGGAAUAGUCACAACUUGUAGAAUAUUUUGGCACUGUUUAAUUUCAGUUUUGAACAACUUAGACAGUAGCUAUUUACAGAAUGGUUGAAUAUGGUUUAAAUUUCAAAUGAAUUGUUUCAAGAUAGUUUUGAGCAUGUUAUCUUGCUGUA